UACGUAGGGUGCAAGCGUUGUCCGGAAUUAUUGGGCGUAAAGAGCUCGUAGGCGGUUCGUCGCGUCGGCUGUGAAAUCCCGAGGCUCAACCUCGGGUCUGCAGUCGAUACGGGCGGACUGGAGUACUGCAGGGGAGACUGGAAUUCCUGGUGUAGCGGUGAAAUGCGCAGAUAUCAGGAGGAACACCGGUGGCGAAGGCGGGUCUCUGGGCCGAUACUGACGCUGAGACGCGAAAGCGUGGGGAGCGAACAGG
rnacentral:rRNA from 1 species